UAAGACGAACCGUGCAAACGUUAUUCGGAAUCACUGGGCUUAAAGGGCGCGUAGGCGGCUCGCCAAGUCGGGGGUGAAAUCUUUCGGCUCAACCGGAAAAGUGCCUUCGAUACUGGCGGGCUGGAGGGAGGUAGGGGCAUGCGGAACUUCCGGUGGAGCGGUGAAAUGCGUUGAUAUCGGAAGGAACGCCGGCGGCGAAAGCGGCGUGCUGGACCUCUUCUGACGCUGAGGCGCGAAAGCCAGGGGAGCGAACGGGAUUAGAUACCCCGGUAGUCCUGGCCCUAAACGAUGGGUACUAGGUAGUGGACUUGACAUGGGUUCCCUGCCGAAGCAAAAGUGUUAAGUACCCCGCCUGGGGAGUAUGGUCGCAAGGCUG
rnacentral:rRNA from 1 species